rnacentral:lncRNA from 1 species
AUUUUUAAAAUUUAUUGUUUUUUUUCUUUCUUUCUUUCGUUGCUGUUGAUUUGUUCUUGAGAUGGCAACACCACCAAACAGGACAUGUCCUCGUCUCCAGUGCCUGUGCAGGGCUACAAUUCCUUUAAAGCAUCCAGGGCUUGCUUCAGCUUUCCUCUCCUGCCUCACCCCCCAUGAAGUCAAAUAAUUUCCACAUUUUUUAGUAAUAUAGUUAGCCCUGUAAACACUUUUUUCCAUUCUCCCACCUUCUGUUUUCCUCUCUCAAGUCUAUGGGUAAAAAAUUAACGAAAAAGAAAAAAAAAAAGUAUUUGUAUCCCACUCACCCUAAUUUUGGCUCUUCUCUCCAAAGAUGACUGGACUUAAAGAGACUGAAUAGGGUCAGAGUUGGCGUAUACAUGAAUUUUGGCCCUGGCAGGUCCUAAUAUUGAUGUGACCAUGAUAAAAAGCAGAACAGGCUCUUUGCUUACUUCUCCUUAUGUGAACAACUCUAAAGGUGAGAAUAAACAGUUGGGACCAGACACAAGUUGGGACACGAGGAGAAAUUUCGACUCACUUUCAUUAAAAGAGGAAGGGGAAAGGAAAAGAAGAGAGGGGAGGAGAGAAUGAAAGGACAAAACAAAACCUUAAGAGAUGAUCCUGACCCUUUCCUUCCGAUUGCAGCUGCUUAAUUCAUUUGAAUCCCCAUCUUCCCUAAGUAAAUGUUUCUGUUUCACAGAAAGAUUUGUAAUUUUAUUUUUCUGUGUGCACACGUGUGCUAGCAUGUUUGUGUGUAGGUACAUGUAUGUAAGUGUGCAUGUCAUUUGCUACCAGGAGAAUGUUUUCAAUUGUAGUUUCAGUUUAGUUUUCCUUUUUUUUUUCUUUUUUAUUUCUUUAAAAUUAUUUUUCCUUUUAGAAACAAGUUCACCAGGAAACCAGCUCCCCUCCCACCACGCCGGACAGGCCACAGCCAUCUCUCUAAACAGCGCUGAUUCUCCCUCACAUCCCCAAACAGGAACUCCUCAGGGUGGCCUUGGAAGGCUGGAGUCUCUCCCUGUCUGGCGGGAUGCCUUGGUGGCGGGUGAAGGCCCCUCUGCCACAGUGGAGGUUUCUGAUUGUGGGACACAGUCUGGUUUUUGUUUUCUUCCUGUCUUCUAA